UUGGUACAGGGGGUUCGCAUGGUCCGAUCCUCUCCGAUCCCCUUCGAUCCUCCCAAACCCACGCGAUUCAGAACCCUCGUCCAAGGGCUCAGGGAAGCAGCGUCCCAGCGCACGCCGCCACCACCGAGGGGAGGAGCCCCGCCGGUGAGAGGAGGAGCCCCAACACCGCCGCCCGACUCUGCCUGCCGCCCCGACUCUCCCCGGUGGUUCUCAUGCACCAAAAGAAGCAACAAUAAACAAGCUGGAUGAAUAAAUUUUUCUCAGGUUCUCAAUGCUAGAUGACCAUGACACCAAAAGAUGGAUACAUGUUUUUGCAUUAUCUUCGUUGCAAAAUGAUGUUGUGGCUGUGAUGAACUGUCUACUGCGAAAGAUUAUGUUGUUAUGAUAAAUAAUGAAUGCUUGGAUUUGGGAUUCAAAGUCAUGUUGUUAUGAUAAAUUGUGUUAUUGCUGUGAUGAGAUA